rnacentral:rRNA from 1 species
UACGUAGGGCGCAAGCGUUGUCCGGAAUUAUUGGGCGUAAAGAGCUCGUAGGUGGUUUGUCGCGUCUGCCGUGAAAGCCCGGGGCUUAACUCCGGGUCUGCGGUGGAUACGGGCAGACUAGAGGCAGGUAGGGGAGAACGGAAUUCCCGGUGUAGCGGUGAAAUGCGUAGAUAUCAGGAGGAACACCUGUGGCGAAAGCGGCUCACUGGACCACAACUGACGCUGAGGCGCGAAAGCUAGGGGAGCAAACAGG